rnacentral:tRNA from 1 species
GCCACGGUAGCUCAGUGGUAGUAGCGCGGCCCUGAAGAGGCCGGCGUCGUCGGUUCGAUUCCGACCCGUGGCA